rnacentral:rRNA from 1 species
CAACAGCGUAUAUUAAAGUUGCUGCAGUUAAAACGCUCGUAGUUGUUGUCCAACUAUACGCUACUCCCCUUCGGGGGUUGUUAGCUCAAUAGUUUAGCGGAAGUCAUCUUCUGCCAAAACCUUGAGGAAAGAUUAGUGUUCCAAGCAAUGUAUGUUUGUCCUCCCCAGCAUGGUAUAUAACCUACGCGAAGAAGAUGCCUGCCACAUCUUCAUCAUACAAAAUAGAAAUUCAAGGGGGUAUACGUACUUUAAUGUCAGAGGUGAAAUUCCUGGAUUAUUGAAAGACGAUCAAUUGCGAAAGCAUUUAUCAAGCGACUUUUCUUUGAU